UACGAAGGGGGCUAGCGUUGUUCGGAAUCACUGGGCGUAAAGCGCUUGUAGGCGGAUCGUUAAGUCAGGGGUGAAAUCCCGAGGCUCAACCUCGGAACUGCCUUUGAUACUGGCGAUCUUCGAGUCCGGGAGAGGUGAGUGGAACUCCGAGUGUAGAGGUGAAAUUCGUAGAUAUUCGGAAGAACACCAGUGGCGAAGGCGGCCCGCUGGGCAGUGGCUGACGCUGAGGCGCGACAGCGUGGGGAGCAAACAGG
rnacentral:rRNA from 1 species